AUUGAACGCUGGCGGCAUGCUUUACACAUGCAAGUCGGACGAGUGGCGAACGGGUGAGUAACGCAUCGGAACGUACCGGGUAAUGGGGGAUAACUGUCCGAAAGGACAGCUAAUACCGCAUAUUAUUCGAGCGGCCGAUGUUGGAUUAGCUUGUUGGCGGGGUAAAGGCCCACCAAGGCGACGAUCAGUAGCGGGUCUGAGAGGAUGAUCCGCCACACUGGGACUGAGACACGGCCCAGACUCCUACGGGAGGCAGCAGUGGGGAAUUUUUGACAAUGGGCGCAAGCCUGAUCCAGCCAUGCCGCGUGUCUGAAGAAGGCCUUCGGGUUGUAAAGGACUUUUGGCAGGGAAGCGGUACCCGAAGAAGAAGCACCGGCUAACUACGUGCCAGCAGCCGCGGUAAUUC
rnacentral:rRNA from 1 species